rnacentral:rRNA from 1 species
ACAAGCGGUGGAGCAUGUGGUUAAUUCGAAGCAACGCGAAGAACCUACCAGGCCUUGACAUGCAGAGAACUUUCCAGAGAUGGAUUGGUGCCUUCGGGAACUCUGACACAGGUGCUGCAUAGCUGUCGUCAGCUCGUGUCGUGAGAUGUUGGGUUAAGUCCCGUAACGAGCGCAACCCUUGUCCUUAGUUACCAGCACGUUAUGGUGGGCACUCUAAGGAGACUGCCGGUGACAAACCGGAGGAAGGUGGGGAUGACGUCAAGUCAUCAUGGCCCUUACGGCCUGGGCUACACACGUGCUACAAUGGUCGGUACAAAGGGUUGCCAAGCCGCGAGGUGGAGCUAAUCCCAUAAAACCGAUCGUAGUCCGGAUCGCAGUCUGCAACUCGACUGCGUGAAGUCGGAAUCGCUAGUAAUCGUGAAUCAGAAUGUCACGGUGAAUACGUUCCCGGGCCUU